CAGAUCUCCAGUCUUCUUGGUCAUUUAGAGGAAGUAAAAGUCGUAACAAGGUUUCCGUAGGUGAACCUGCGGAAGGAUCAUUACUGAAAGGGGACUCCGGUCCCCGGGACAAGCCCCCGUCGAGCCCCUGGGCUCCCCGGGCGGCGACACCCCUAACCCUUUGUUUACCCUACCUCUGUUGCUUUGGCAAGGCUCCUGCCCGGGUGGUUCCGGGCUUGGGCUCUGCCAGAGGGCCCCAACUCGUGGAUAGUUCUUGUUUGUCUGAGUACGAUAUAAUCGUUUACAACUUUUAACAAUGGAUCUCUUGGCUCUGGCAUCGAUGAAGAACGCAGCGAAACGCGAUAUGUAAUGUGAAUUGCAGACUUUAGUGAAUCAUCGAAUCUUUGAACGCACAUUGCGCCCCGUGGUAUUCCGCGGGGCAUACCUGUUCGAGCGUCAUUACAACCUCUCCAGCUCUGCUGGGUCUUGGGGCUUGCCUUCCCGGGCAUCCCUUAAAACUAGAUGCGGCGCCGCGUGGCUCUAAGCGUAGUACUUUCCUCGCUUCUGGGUCCGCUGUGGUGUCUGCUACACAACCCCAACUUUCUAUGGUUGACCUCGAAUCAGGUAGGGAUACCCGCUGAACUUAAGCAUAUCAAUAAGCGGAGGAAAAGAAACCAACC
rnacentral:rRNA from 1 species